rnacentral:misc_RNA from 1 species
GAUGAAGAACGUAGCGAAAUGCGAUAAGUAGUGUGAAUUGCAGAAUUCAGUGAAUCAUCGAAUCUUUGAACGCACAUUGCGCCUCCUGGUAUUCCGGGAGGCAUGCCCGUUCGAGCGUCAUUAAAAUCACUCAAGCUUAGGUUUACCUAUUGCUUGGUCUUGGAGAUGGAAGCCAAUUUAUUGGAAUCCUCUUCGAAAUUCAAUGGCGAAGACCCUUGCUCUCCCAAGUGUAGUAAUAACUUAUGUCACUGAAGGAAGCGAGAAAUCUUCUGCCGUAACCCCCAUAUUUUCUAUGAUUGACCUCGGAUCAGGUAGGGAUACCCGCUGAACUUAAGCAUAUCAAUAAGCGGAGGA